GACGAACGCUGGCGGCGUGCUUAACACAUGCAAGUCGAACGGAAAGGCCCUGCUUUUGUGGGGUGCUCGAGUGGCGAACGGGUGAGUAACACGUGAGUAACCUGCCCUUGACUUUGGGAUAACUUCAGGAAACUGGGGCUAAUACCGGAUAGGAGCUCCUGCUGCAUGGUGGGGGUUGGAAAGUUUCGGCGGUUGGGGAUGGACUCGCGGCUUAUCAGCUUGUUGGUGGGGUAGUGGCUUACCAAGGCUUUGACGGGUAGCCGGCCUGAGUGGGUGACCGGCCACAUUGGGACUGAGAUACGGCCCAGACUCCUACGGGAGGCGGCAGUGGGGAAUAUUGCACAAUGGGCGGAAGCCUGAUGCAGCAACGCCGCGUGCGGGAUGACGGCCUUCGGGUUGUAAACCGCUUUCGCCUGUGACGAAGCGUGAGUGACGGUAAUGGGUAAAGAAGCACCGGCUAACUACGUGCCAGCAGCCGCGGUGAUACGUAGGGUGCGAGCGUUGUCCGGAUUUAUUGGGCGUAAAGGGCUCGUAGGUGGUUGAUCGCGUCGGAAGUGUAAUCUUGGGGCUUAACCCUGAGCGUGCUUUCGAUACGGGUUGACUUGAGGAAGGUAGGGGAGAAUGGAAUUCCUGGUGGAGCGGUGGAAUGCGCAGAUAUCAGGAGGAACACCAGUGGCGAAGGCGGUUCUCUGGGCCUUUCCUGACGCUGAGGAGCGAAAGCGUGGGGAGCGAACAGGCUUAGAUACCCUGGUAGUCCACGCUGUAAACGGUGGGUACUAGGUGUGGGGUCCAUUCCACGGGUUCCGUGCCGUAGCUAACGCUUUAAGUACCCCGCCUGGGGAGUACGGCCGCAAGGCUAAAACUCAAAGGAAUUGACGGGGCCCCGCACAAGCGGCGGAGCAUGCGGAUUAAUUCGAUGCAACGCGUAGAACCUUACCUGGGUUUGACAUGGAUCGGGAGUGCUCAGAGAUGGGUGUGCCUCUUUUGGGGUCGGUUCACAGGUGGUGCAUGGCUGUCGUCAGCUCGUGUCGUGAGAUGUUGGGUUAAGUCCCGCAACGAGCGCAACCCUUGUUCACUGUUGCCAGCACGUUAUGGUGGGGACUCAGUGGAGACCGCCGGGGUCAACUCGGAGGAAGGUGGGGAUGACGUCAAGUCAUCAUGCCCCUUAUGUCCAGGGCUUCACGCAUGCUACAAUGGCUGGUACAGAGAGUGGCGAGCCUGUGAGGGUGAGCGAAUCUCGGAAAGCCGGUCUCAGUUCGGAUUGGGGUCUGCAACUCGACCUCAUGAAGUCGGAGUCGCUAGUAAUCGCAGAUCAGCAACGCUGCGGUGAAUACGUUCCCGGGGCU
rnacentral:rRNA from 1 species